rnacentral:lncRNA from 1 species
CAAACUUAGUGGAACUUUAGAUGUGCCUGGGAACAGUGUCUUCAUGCAAGAUCUUCCCUGCUGAGGACUCUUGACGCUGCAGAAGCAGGUAGACGCAGCUGUGCUUAGAAGUUGAAUGCUGUGUGCAAGAAGCUAUGCUACCAAGAAGGCAAGCACAAGAGUCGGAACACACUGUCAGAUUCUACAGAUUCUAUGCUGUCUCUACAGC